AGUGAACGCUGGCGGCGUGCUUAACGCAUGCAAGUCGAACGAGAACGGAUUAUAGCUUGCUAUAAUUGUCAGCUAAGUGGCGCACGGGUGAGUAAUGUAUAGGUAAUAUGCCUCUUACUAAGGGAUAACAAAUGGAAACGUUUGCUAAUACCUUAUACUCCUUAUUAACCUAAGUUAAUAAGGGAAAGAUUUAUUGGUAAGAGAUUAGCCUGUAUUGUAUCAGUUAGUUGGUGGGGUAAUGGCUUACCAAGACUAUGACACAUAACUGGUUUGAGAGGAUGAUCAGUCACACUGGAACUGAGACACGGUCCAGACUCCUACGGGAGGCAGCAGUGGGGAAUAUUGCACAAUGGACGAAAGUCUGAUGCAGCAACGCCGCGUGGAGGAUGACACAUUUCGGUGCGUAAACUCCUUUUAUAUGAGAAGAUAAUGACGGUAUUAUAUGAAUAAGCACCGGCUAACUCCGUGCCAGCCGCCGCAGUAAUAC
rnacentral:rRNA from 1 species